rnacentral:lncRNA from 1 species
UGAAAUUAUUCUAGUACACGUAGACACCUACCAAAAGUCAACCCCACCAUAUUCUUCUUCCUACAAAUAAGCUAGACUUCUUACUUAAAAAACUUUCAUUCAAUAUUCUACUCAUAAAUCAAAUGCACACAAGCCCCCCUACGUGGCUUAUGAAUUCCAUAAGCUGCAUGUUCUUCUACUGAACAGCUUUUAGCUUCUAACUUUCAGCUUUUCUUUCCGCUUAAUUUGCUCUACAAGAAAAGGCCUCAACGUCGGCCGCCCCUCCGAACCCUCAUCGAGUUUUUACGG